UACAGAGGUCCCAAGCGUUGUUCGGAUUCACUGGGCGUAAAGGGUGCGUAGGUGGUGAGGUAAGUCGGAUGUGAAAUCUCCGAGCUCAACUCGGAAAAUGCAUUGGAAACUACCUUGCUCGAGGGUUGGAGGGGGGACUGGAAUGCUUGGUGUAGCAGUGAAAUGCGUAGAUAUCAAGCGGAACACCAGUGGCGAAGGCGAGUCCCUGGACAACUCCUGACACUGAGGCACGAAAGCUAGGGGAGCAAACAGG
rnacentral:rRNA from 1 species